UGGUGACCUGGGCACACAGGGAGACUCUCCAGACUGCUGCGGAGUUCACACAGGAGCCGACUCCGAACGCUGGAGUUGAGACCUGUUGCUAAUUGAGCGAAUUGCGCUGUGCUGAAUUAUCCCCUCCAUCAACUCGAUUAAAUCCCUCAAAGGAUGGUGCCAAAGGAAUCCUCCUCUGCUCGCCUCCGGUCCUGAUGUGAGUGACAGGACGGAUUCCA